rnacentral:rRNA from 1 species
CGGGCUUCGGCCUGGUGCCGAGUGGCGAACGGGUAAGUAAUACAUCGGAACGUACCCAGAAGUGGGGGAUAACGUAGCGAAAGUUACGCUAAUACCGCAUACGUUCUACGGAAGAAAGUGGGGGAUCGCAAGACCUCAUGCUUUUGGAACGGCCGAUGUCUGAUUAGCUAGUUGGUGAGGUAAAGGCUCACCAAGGCGACGAUCAGUAGCUGGUCUGAAGAGGCCGCCACCCCUGGUCUGAGUCUCGGUCCAGACUCCUACGGGAGGCAGCAGUGGGGAAUUUUGGACAAUGGGCGCAAGCCUGAUCCAGCAAUGCCGCGUGAGUGAAGAAGGCCUUCGGGUUGUAAAGCUCUUUUGUGCAGGGAAGAACGGCAGGAGGCUAAUUCCUUUGCUAAUGGCGG